CAGGAAGGAAGGACCUGUCAGCCUGCUGCUUGCCUGAAUGUGACUGACCACGGCCCCAGGUGGUGGAGCUGCCACCUUCCCUGUCUGCUUGCCCCCAGGACCACCACUUUCACCGACCACACUCAGAAUCAGUGAGCCCCUCUGCAGUGCCUGCCUUGUCUGGGCUGACCACCUUCAGUGCCAGAGCUGAGCCAGAGACUUGGCCAUUUUCGGGAGUGCUAACAGUAAAGCCCACUCUAGCGUAGCAAGGAUGAGCAGAGCCAGAUUCUGGGUUGGCAUGAAGGGUUUAAAGAGAGUGAGGUUGAGUGAGCUCCCCUGGCCCACAGAGCAAGGUUGACAAAGGAAGGAAAGGCCCUGUGGUGUGGCCCCAGUGAAGGGCACCAGCGCCGCCUCUGGAUCUCUGUGUCCUCACCUCUGGGGUAAGGGCAUGCUUCCCUCUGGGGUGGAUGUGGCUGACAGCAGAUGCCCUGUCAUGGCUCUUGCCUCAGCUGCAGACCCCGCCAGGGCUGUCCUCUCCCAGCUUUCAGUGGGUAGUGACGGCCCCAUGACCAUCACUGCACUGGGGACGCUUGACCCUGCAGUGGCUUUAGGGCUUCCAGCUUAAACACAGUCAAAAAGCGAAAGGUCUAGUCACCAGAAGACAACAUUUGACAGUAGUAGAAAUCACAACCAAACAUUGUGCUGUUGUACAAUUGUUAUUUGUCAAUUACAAAAUAAUAUUAAAAAAUAAAAAACCCCAAAACAUUGUACUAGCCAUUAGAAAAUUUUUUUUACUGUGUUGAAAUUGCAUUAUAUAAUUUAAGUUGGACAACCAAGACAUUUCAUUUUUGAUGUUGAUUACAACUUUCAAAAUUCGCAAUCUACUAACAUAAUUUAUUUAUAUUGACUUAAUGUAAGUAAAUCAGUUGUGCCUUUGAAAAUGCUACAUUGUUCAUAAAUGAAUACCAAGCUUAUGCAUAGCUAUGUACAGGGAGGUGAAAAAUAUUCAUCUUCUCUGAUAUUAACAGACAGUUAAAUACAGUACUAUCCUUCUCCUAUAUUAGUAGUAGAAUGCUUGGCAAAUACAAUGAUUUGUAGAAUACAUUGAUACAUAUUGUGAAGUGGUUGAGAGACAGCCAGCAGUUGCCACAGCUGCCAAACUCCAGAAGAAGGCUGGUCAGAUCUCCCCACUCAUUCUACUGGUCUUGUGCCUUAGCCACUGUGCACCUCGAACCUGCAUUGUUCCUCGGUUUUCCUAUGGAGAAGGAUCCCCCUGUGUGGGACUGGCAUCCUCUGAGGACUGCAGGACUGUACCUGGGUGAUGAGAAAGGAAGCCAAGGCCAUAGCACUAUAAUUGCAGUGCUCUGCCUUAAAGUCCAGCCUCGAGCCUGCGGCUCGAUUUUCCAGUAAGCUGAGAGCAUGGAGAACACCAGAAAGCCAUUUCGGUUUCUGCUUAUUUCUUCUCUACAGAUUUUGAGGGUUGAAAAAGCACAUUCCAGAAAAGGCAGUGGAAAAUUCUAAAAUAAAAGUGAGGCAGAAUCAGAGUGAGGGGCAUGUUGAGAAUGCCCCUACCAUCUUGAACGGAGCAAAAGAUGGCUCAUAUGUUGACAGCUCCCAAUCCCCCACUUCUGGAGCAGAUUUUCCAGGGGGAAGGACAUUACAGAGUCCAGAUGCCUCUUCCAUGAUUCCAGCACCUCUAAUGUUGUAAGGCCGUGUUAUGAGCACCCUAAAGAUGGCACUUCAGCACACAGUUCUCGAAAUUCUGACCAUUCUAUCUUCUUUUAAAUCCCUCUGUUUUUCCAAAUCCUAAAGCCCUGUGACACACCAGCAGCCGGUAAGCGUCUUUCG
rnacentral:lncRNA from 1 species